UUCUCUGUAAGUACAAAUUAAGUUCAUUUUGUGCACCAUGUUGGAGGACCAUUCCUUCUCAGUGAAUACACAAAGAAGCCAAAAUUAAGUUUGCCACUGGUCUGUCAGGUAUGGGCUCCUGCUUCUGGCUGAGAGCAACAGCUGAACUCCGGACAAUAGUGAAAAUCUCCCAGGUACACAAAGAGGGGAAGAGUACAUCUGGACCAAGACAAAUCUGAUACAGAGUCACAGAGGUUUGGGGUAUUCAUCGGGUUUGAGGACGCUUCUUUAAAUGAUUAUACUUAUCAUAAGGGUGAUAUAGCUGGGGAGAGCUACCAUGGUUAUCAUGAUUUUCCUUUCUCCUGUAUGCUCAACAUUUUUUGUGAGUUUUGUCUUAAAUACAUGCAUCUGAUAACUUGAA